rnacentral:rRNA from 1 species
UACGGAGGGUGCGAGCGUUGUCCGGAAUCACUGGGCGUAAAGGGCGCGUAGGCGGCGUCGGUAGUCCGUGGUGAAAGCUCGUGGCUCAACUGCGAGUCGGCCAUGGAUACUCCGAUGCUUGAGCACUGUAGAGGCAGGUGGAAUUCCGGGUGUAGCGGUGGAAUGCGUAGAGAUCCGGAAGAACACCGGUGGCGAGGGCGGCCUGCUGGGCAGUAGCUGACGCUGAGGCGCGACAGCGUGGGGAGCAAACAGG